GAGGAGUGGUUGUGGGUUAUUAG
rnacentral:piRNA from 1 species